rnacentral:miRNA from 1 species
AUUGACGAUUCUGACACAAU